ACGUAAAAUGAGUAUUCCGGAUCUUUUGUAUCGAGCUGAUUAGGAUUGGAUAUAGGUUUUUUUAUGAUUUUAGGUCCUAAAUGCAAAUCGUGUUCGUUCGUAAUUUUGUACAACAGUACAUAACUAUUUAGUUUUAGUAGAUUUUGACUCAAUAGUAUAUUUCGCUUGAUAUCGAUCGAUACGUCCCUGAGUUGUUUGUAUAAGUAACACGGAAAAACCUUAACAGUUUUUUUAUUCGUCUGCUCCAACCAUGUAAACUGUUUUGAUUCCGAUUCGUCAAAUGGUUGGACAUACUUGAUACUACCAAAAUUAUUGCAACGAUGAAUUAACAAUAAAAAAUAAUCGUUUUCCGUAUUUAAAUUUCUCCAAUCCACGGACAUCCGCUUAUGUGCUAGUUCUCUCGUCAAGAAUUCAGAAAGAUUGCGUGUAUCGUGGGAUAUUCCUUUGAGAUUGCAUAAGGACGUAACUUGUGUUAAAAUAUCCAAAGCAUUGAAUAGAUUCCUAUGGAAUUGGUUACUCGGUAUACGAUAUUUACUACUUAAAAAAUUGUGAAUCGGCC